UACAGAGGUGGCAAGCGUUGUUCGGAAUUACUGGGCGUAAAGGGCGCGUAGGCGGCUUUCUAAGUCAGACGUGAAAUCCCCCGGCUUAACCUGAGAACUGCGUCUGAUACUGGGAGGCUUGAAUGCGGGAGAGGGAUGUAGAAUUCCAGGUGUAGCGGUGAAAUGCGUAGAUAUCUGGAGGAACACCGGUGGCGAAGGCGGCAUCCUGGACCGGCAUUGACGCUGAGGCGCGAAAGCCAGGGGAGCAAACGGG
rnacentral:rRNA from 1 species